rnacentral:rRNA from 1 species
GAUCUUUAUAUAUUAAAUAAUUUAGUAAAAAUUAGUUGAAGAUUAUUUUUAAAUUAUUUUUAUAUUAUAUUGGGGUAAUAAUAAAAUUUUAUAAAUUUUUAUUUAUUAAAUACAAUUAUAAUUGAUUAUUUGAUCCAAUAAUAUUGAUUUUAAAUUUAAGUUACCUUAGGGAUAACAGCGUAAUGAUUUUUGAGAGUUCUUAUCGAUAAAAUAGUUUGU